rnacentral:rRNA from 1 species
UUUGAUCCUGGCUCAGGAGGACCCCUAGCGAUAGGCCUAACACAUGCAAGUCGAGGAGCAGCACAUGAGUAGCAAUACGAUGGUGGCGACCGGCGCACGGGUGAGUAACACGUAUGCAACCUACCUUUAACAGGGGAAUAACCCGUUGAAAAACGGACUAAUACUCCAUAACACAGGGGUCCCGCAUGGGAAUAUUUGUUAAAGAUUUAUCGGUUGAAGAUGGGCAUGCGUUCCAUUAGCUUGUUGGUGAGGUAACGGCUCACCAAGGCCACGAUGGAUAGGGGAACUGAGAGGUUUAUCCCCCACACUGGAACUGAGACACGGUCCAGACUCCUACGGGAGGCAGCAGUGAGGAAUAUUGGUCAAUGGAGGCAACUCUGAACCAGCCAAGUCGCGUGAAGGAUGAAGGUCUUAUGGAUUGUAAACUUCUUUUGCAAGGGAAUAAAGUGGGGGACGUGUCCUCCUUUGCAUGUACCUUGCGAAUAAGGAUCGGCUAACUCCGCGCCAGCAGCCGCGGUAAUACGGAGGAUCCGAGCGUUAUCCGGAUUUAUUGGGUUUAAAGGGUGCGCAGGCGGGAUGUUAAGUCGGCGGUGAAAUUUUGCAGCUCAACUGUAAAAGUGCCUUCGAUACUGGCUUUCUUGAGUGUGGAUGAAGUAGGCGGAAUUUGUGGUGUAGCGGUGAAAUGCUUAGAUAUCUGGAGGAACACCAGUGGCGAAGGCGGCCUCCUGGACCAUUCCUGACACUCAGACGCGAAAGCUAGGGUAGCAAACGGAAGUAGAGACUCCGGUAGUCCUAGCCCUAAACGAUGCAGAAAAGGGGUCGGCGGUUAAUCACCGUCCGGUGUCCAAGCUAACGCGAUAAGUCUGCCGCCUGAGGACUACGGCCGCAAGGCUAAAAACUCAAAGGAAUUGACGGGUCCCCGCACAAGCAGCGGAGCGUGUGGUUUAAUUCGGUGCUCCGCGAAGAACCUUACCUGGGUUUGACAUAACAGUGGUAGAGAAGUGAAAACGGAUCGACCCUUCGGGGAGCUGUUACAGGUGUUGCAUGCCUGUCGUCAGCUCGUGUCGUGAGAUGUUCGGUUAAGUCCGCUAACGAGCGCAACCCGCGCUGUGUGUUACAAGUGUCACACAGUACCGCCGGUAUUAAGUCGGAGGAAGGUGCGGAUGACGUCAAGUCAGCAUGACCUUUAUAUCCAGGGCUACACACACGCUACAAUGGUCAGAACAAUAGGUUGCCAAGCCGCAAGGCGGAGCCAAUCCUCCAAAUCUGGCCUCAGUUCAGAUUGCAGGCUGCAACUCGCCUGCAUGAAGUCGGAGUUGCUAGUAACCGCAGGUCAGCAUACUGCGGUGAAUACGUUCCCGGGGAUUGCACACACCGCCCGUCAAG